UCCGUAGGAGAAGUUCCCUGGUUUCCCUAGAGUUCUUCAGACGCUUCUCCAACUUUUGCUCUUGACAAGGGCUUUCCAUUCCUGUAAAGUUUUUUUGAAUUCUACCAGGCAAAGUACACAGAAAGUUCUGGUAGUGUUCAGGCCCCUCUACCACAAGCUAGGCGUUGCCGUCAUUGGUGCAACAUGGUCCCUCCCUAUCUACCAGCAUUGCCGCUGCCGAACGGUCGGGGCAGGUCGGGGCCUUUAUUUGUUUUGUUUACUUAAGUUAAUUGUUUUUUGGUUGUGUUUUUAUUCGUGCAAUACAAUGCCUUUUACCCUUA